rnacentral:rRNA from 1 species
GAUGAACGCUGGCGGCGUGCCUAAUACAUGCAAGUCGAGCGAACGGACGAGAAGCUUGCUUCUCUGAUGUUAGCGGCGGACGGGUGAGUAACACGUGGAUAACCUACCUAUAAGACUGGGAUAACUUCGGGAAACCGGAGCUAAUACCGGAUAAUAUUUUGAACCGCAUGGUUCAAAAGUGAAAGACGGUCUUGCUGUCACUUAUAGAUGGAUCCGCGCUGCAUUAGCUAGUUGGUAAGGUAACGGCUUACCAAGGCAACGAUGCAUAGCCGACCUGAGAGGGUGAUCGGCCACACUGGAACUGAGACACGGUCCAGACUCCUACGGGAGGCAGCAGUAGGGAAUCUUCCGCAAUGGGCGAAAGCCUGACGGAGCAACGCCGCGUGAGUGAUGAAGGUCUUCGGAUCGUAAAACUCUGUUAUUAGGGAAGAACAUAUGUGUAAGUAACUGUGGACAUCUUGACGGUACCUAAUCAGAAAGCCACGGCUAACUACGUG